rnacentral:rRNA from 1 species
AGGGAAAGCGGGGGGCAUGCCUUACACAUGCAAGUCGAACGGCAGCACGGGGGGUAACCCCUGGUGGCGAGUGGCGAACGGGUGAGUAAUAUAUCGGAACGUGUCCUGUAGCGGGGGAUAACCUAUCGAAAGAUGGACUAAUACCGCAUACGACCUACGGGUGAAAGCGGAGGACCGCAAGGCUUCGCACUAUAGGAGCGGCCGAUAUCGGAUUAGCUAGUUGGCGGGGUAACGGCCCACCAAGGCGACGAUCCGUAGCUGGUCUGAGAGGACGAUCAGCCACACUGGAACUGAGACACGGUCCAGACUCCUACGGGAGGCAGCAGUGGGGAAUUUUGGACAAUGGGCGCAAGCCUGAUCCAGCCAUGCCGCGUGAGUGAAGAAGGCCUUCGGGUUGUAAAGCUCUUUCGGCGGGGACGAAACGGUUCGUGCUAAUACCACGGACUACUGACGGUACCCGCAGAAGAAGCACCGGCUAACUACGUG